UGACCUCGAAUCAGGUAGGAAUACCCGCUGAACUUAAGCAUAUCAAUAAGCGAAGGA
rnacentral:rRNA from 1 species